AGUAGGAAACAUUGAUCUAUAUAACUGUUUACUAAUUCACAUGAAUCAGAACGAAAACUAUUGUGAUUACUAAAAUACCCCUAGUUUAAUUAAUCUAUUUAUAAGCUAAUUAUUUUUAGUAAAUCUUUUAUUGUUUCGUUUUUUUUUUAGGAGAACAAUUAUUAUUUUUUAGUAAAACUUUUAUUACUUUAUUUUUGGAUUUUUUAGUGGAAUUCUCAUGCUUAUCUACUAACCCAGAACCCACUGUCCUCAUCCAAAUUUGCAUUAUCUAGAACCCACAGCUCAUAGCCUCACCUCGACGAAGAGAUCACCGUUCCUACCACUUCUUCUUCAAUGAUGUGCGGGCAUCAGAGCCUGCGCCUCAACGUGGGACUUCGCAAACCCGAGCUCCAAUUUGGGUCUUUCUCGGGUCCCUCUCACCUGAACUCGUCCCUCUCCCUUGGCCUCUCUGGAGGACGUGGAGGAUUUUGAGGUGGUGGAGCGAGAGGAGGCAACGGAGGAGCAGAGAGCUGCUGGAGAGGAUGGCGGAGGACAACGAGAAGAUGGAAAGGAGUACUAAAGGUGCAGGGCAUUUUGGGAAGGAAAUUUUGAUUCUAGAUGAAGCCUUCUUCCCGGAAUCCAAAUACUACCUUCUUCUAUGUAAUCCAAUUCCGACAAUAUCAAGAAUUGAAUUCCUAAUUUUAUGUGGGGUCCACAAAACUAUUCAUUCCAAUUUGGUAAACGGAGGUAUAAUCAGGAAUAGGGGAUGAUUCCUAUUCUGCUAUAUCCUUUCCCCAUAUGUAAACACGCCAUUAGUGGAUUAGAUUCGUUCAAACCA